AGCGAACGUUAGCGGCGGGCCUAACACAUGCAAGUCGAGCGAGAAAGGGGCUUCGGCCCCGAGUACAGCGGCGGACGGGUGAGGAACACGGAGGUAAUCUGCCCUUCGAUGGAGGACAACGGUCCGGAAGGAACGCUAAUACUGCAUACGUUCCCCGGGACCUCGGUCCUGGGGGGGAAAGGCUCGCAAGGGGCGUCGGGGGCGGAGCCUGCGUCGCAUCAGCUAGUUGGUGGGGUAACGGCCUAACAAGGCGAAGACGCGUAGCUGGUCUGAGAGGAUGAUCAGCCACACUGGGACUGAGACACGGCCCAGACUCCUACGGGAGGCAGCAGUGGGGAAUAUUGGACAAUGGGCGAAAGCCUGAUCCAGCCACGCCGCGUGAGUGAUGAAGGCCUUCGGGUCGUAAAGCUCUGUGGGGAGGGACGAAUUGCCCGGUGAAGAGCCGGGAGUGACGGUACCUCCUUAGCAAGCACCGGCUAACUUCGUGCCAGCCGCCGCAGUAAAAC
rnacentral:rRNA from 1 species